rnacentral:ribozyme from 14 species
CGUGCGUUUACUGUACGGCCCUCUUUCUUUUUUUCUUUUAUUUACCUUUUUUCUUU